GGCCAUGUGGUGCAGUGAUUUAAGCAUUGGACUUUGACUCCAGUGACCAGGGUUUGACUCCUUGGAGAGCCA